rnacentral:rRNA from 1 species
AGUGAACGCUGGCGGUAGGCCUAACACAUGCAAGUCGAACGGCAGCACAGUAAGCGCUUGCUCUUACGGGUGGCGAGUGGCGGCCGGGUGAGGAAUACAUCGGAAUCUACUUUUUCGUGGGGGAUAACGUAGGGAAACUUACGCUAAUACCGCAUACGACCUACGGGUGAAAGCAGGGGAUCUUCGGACCUUGCGCGAUUGAAUGAGCCGAUGUCGGAUUAGCUAGUUGGCGGGGUAAAGGCCCACCAAGGCGACGAUCCGUAGCUGGUCUGAGAGGAUGAUCAGCCACACUGGAACUGAGACACGGUCCAGACUCCUACGGGAGGCAGCAGUGGGGAAUAUUGGACAAUGGGCGCAAGCCUGAUCCAGCCAUACCGCGUGGGUGAAGAAGGCCUUCGGGUUGUAAAGCCCUUUUGUUGGGAAAGAAAAGCAGCAGGUUAAUACCCCGCUGUUCUGACGGUACCCAAAGAAGAAGCACCGGCUAACUUCGUG